GAACCUGAGAGCGUGAAAAAGGAGCCGACAACAGAGAAGAUACGACUACCCGAGUUUUAGAACGCAGCAAAAUCACAAUACCUACACACAAAAUAGACAUAAUAACAGAUAAUGUAUCAUACAAAAUAUUUAAAAUUAAUAAAAAUAGAACGUGGAUGAAUAUAGCGUAUAAGAAUAUGGUCCCAAAAAUAACGUGAAUGAAUGUGUGUCACUAUCUAAUAAGCAACAGCUAGCAUAUCAUGUUAGCAUCGUAUAAAGUAUUCAUAAAGAUAAUAAACUAAAGUUAAUGAAAGAAUCGCAAGUUCAAAUAUGUGAUUAAGAAGCUUGAUUAUCUUAAUCUUAACUUAACCCUUGUUUUCAUAUAUCCAAGCAAAACUAAGAAGAUAAUGACGUAAUC
rnacentral:lncRNA from 1 species